rnacentral:ncRNA from 1 species
AGUAAAGCGGUGAUUGGGGCCAGUAGAUGGGAUAUGGCGAAAGAGAGUGAAGCUCAGCGGCUGAAAGGCUUCACAGCCCUCUUGAACAUCGAACCUACCCCGGGAGCUGCCAGGCAAACCUGGACGCGUAUCCGGCGAUAUUGGAGUUGAGUGAGCUUUUUUGCAAAAAAGCGGCGCAACGGAUGCUCAUGCAUCCUAGUACGUUGUCCGCUUUUGCCGGCAGGAAAGUGAAUAAAGGUGGUACCACGGAAGAAUGGCCUUUCGUCCUUUGC